rnacentral:rRNA from 1 species
AUUGAACGCUGGCGGCAUGCUUUACACAUGCAAGUCGAACGGCAGCGCGGGCUGCGGUCUGGCUUCGGGGGGCGAACUGGUGGGUAAUACAGCGGAACGUGCCCAUCUGCGUGGGCUUGCGCGGCAAAGUCCGGAUUAAUACCGUAAAAGCGCUUAGGAUGAACGGGGGAGAUCUUCGGAUCUCGCGCCCUUGCGUCAUUCGAUGACCGAUUAGCUAGUUGGGGGGGUAAAGGCCUACCAAGGCGACGAUCCGUAGCUGGUCUGAGAGUCUGACCAGCCACACUGGAACUGAGACACGGCCCAGACUCCUACGGGAGGCAGCAGUGGGGAAUUUUGGACAAUGGGCGAAAGCCUGAUCCAGCAAUGCCGCGUGUGUGAUGAAGGCCUUCGGGUUGUAAAGCCCUUUUGUUGGGAACGAAAAGGACUGUGUCAAUACCACGGUUCGAUGACGGUACCCGAAGAAUAAGCACCGGCUAACUACGUG